AAUAAGUAUAAAAUAAUAUACUUUGCGAAAUGAUUUUAUAAGAAGAAAACUUCUAAUAUUCUUUCAAUAGCUACGUAUAUGUAUUUAUGAUGCUUCAAACUAUGAAUGGUCCAUAGAAAACGUAAAAGAUCAGUGUUUUGUUGUGAAUUUUAUUAAUUUACUUAGAUAUUUACUGUGUUUAAGUGAACGUUUUAUAUUACAACAAUGCCUAAAAAGUGUGCAUUUGGGUGUGAACAUGAAUAUGGAUUAACGGUACAUCAGUUUCCGAACAUAAAAAAGUUUAAGAAUCAGUUUAAGAAAUGGGUCUUCCUUAUGGGAGGGAACCCGGAGGACCCGGAGGACAUAAAGAAUUACCGGAACCGUGUAGUAUGUGACCGACACUUUGAAGAUAAACAUAAGAAUCGUAAUCAUCGACUCAGUCGUAUUGCUUUGCCAAGUCUUCAUUUACCACCAGACGUUGCCAAAAGACUUGAGAAGAUAGGACCCGAUGUUUCUGAUGAAGAAAAUUGUAAAGAUGAAGCAGAAAUUUAUGAUAUACAACUGGAUCCUUGCGAUUCCCUACCAUAUGAAAGUGAUAUGCCUGAGGUACAAUUUGAGCUAGAAGUACAGGACAAUUUUAAAGGACAGUUGACACCUACAGUACAGUGGAAACCCAUAGAACAGUUGCAGCCUGCUGAAAACUUGAAACCCGUAGUACGAUCGGCUCCUAGAGGACAGUUGAUUCCUAUAGGACAGUCAAUUCAGAAAGGACAGUUGAUCCCUAUAGGACAACCAAUUCCCAAAGGGCAGUUGGUCCCUAUAGGACAACCAACUCCCAAAGGGCAGUUGGUCCCUAUAGGACAACCAACUCCCAAAGGGCAGUUGGUUCCUAUAGGACAACCAACUCCCAAAGGACAGUUGAUCCCUAUAGGACAAGCAACUCCGAAAGGACAAUUAAUACCCGUAGGACAGUUGAAACCUAUAGUACUGUCGAAACCUGUGGGAAAGUUAAAACCUAUAAUAAAAUUGAAACCUAUAGGACAGUUACAGCCCGCAGGAAAUAUUAAACGUGUAACACUGUCAAAUGUUAAAGGACUGUUGAAACCUAGACAAAAACUGGUUGCAGGCGCGAAGGAUCAGGUUUAUAUACCACGAAAGGUGUUUAGAAGAAAGUUCGAUCCUGCCGUGCCGAUCUGCAGAGCGUGUCUUACUACCAAGAGGAAACUGUUCAAUAUUCAUGAAACUGAUGUCUUGCAAGUCUACCAGACUAUGUCUGGGACACAGUUGACUACAGACGACCGUCUACCACAAUGGCUAUGUAGCCACUGCAUCACUCUACUGAGGAAGUGCCACAAAUUCAGUCAGAACUGCAAGGAGGCGGCCAAGGAAUUGAUGGAAGCUAGCUAUACCGGUGUUUUGGGACGCGCUGCUAAGCUAGAAAACUUAAAGCUUCAGAGGACAGAGAUAAAUUAUGUCGAUAUUGUGGGCGAGCGGGUGAAAAUGGAGGCAGAACAUGAUUAUGAUGGAAAUCCUAACAUUGAGGAUACAGCUACACUAGAAAACAUGGACGUAGCGGAAGAUAUAGAAAUAAAAGAAAUUAAACCCUUAGCAGACAUAAAAAGGCGGAAAAAGCCGAGUAUACUCGACAAUGAAGACAUGCUGAGAGAGUUUGAAACUGUAUAUAGCGUAGAUGUACAUAAAAUGAGUGCUGAGGAGAAAUUACAAGAUGUAUUAGAUAGGAAGGCGAGUGUGAACUAUAUGAACAGCCCGUAUAGAUGCGAGCUAUGCUACCGCGGGUACCUGGCUGCGGGGCUGUUGAAGACGCAUCAUUUGGUGAGGCAUAAUGCGAGUCUUGCGGAAGUGUGUGAGUAUUGUCACCUGCGGUACAAGACUCCCACCGACCUGGCGCUCCACUACACCAAGAGUCAUACUGUGAGGAUAUCCUGUCGGUUAUGUCCGCGCGUAGCGAGGAAUAUAUCUAACGCCAAGAAACAUUACGAGGUGUACCACCAAGAACAGAAGCAUACAACGUGUGAACACUGUGGACGGAGCUUCAGGAUGCUAUCAUCAUUCCUGAUCCACCUUCGCGACGAGCACCCGUCGCAGCUGAUCUGGUGCCACGUCUGCGGAGACGCCUUCGUGCUCGCCGGCAAUUUAGAGAAACAUAAACUCAGGCGACAUCAGCACCUCCAUCUGCCGGCGAGAUGCGGAAACUGUGAUACCCAUUUCGUAGACGAGGUGGCGCUGAGCCGUCAUUUAAUGGAUGGUAUUUGUACCGGCCACUCUUGUAUCCACUGCGGGGUCGGGUAUACAGAACCCAUGGGUUUGAGGGACCAUGUACUUAAAACACAUAAGCCUCGCACACGCACGAAUGUUGAUUAUCCGUGUCCUAAGUGCCACAAGGUGUUCAAGCAAGGUGCCCAGCUUCGAGACCACCUGAGGAAGAUACAUCUCAAGAUUAGCAGACAAGUAGUAUGCGAGAUUUGCGGGAAGGUCGUACCGAGUAAAGUGGCGAUGAAGGUACAUCUCCGGCUGCACUCGGGCGAGCGGCCGUACCAGUGUCCUCUCUGUAUGAAGGGAUUCAUCAGCAAGAAUACCAUGAUGAAACAUCGGAAGACGGUACACUCUACUGAGCGUCCCUACGUGUGCGAUAGGUGUCCGAAAUCGUUUAAAGGAAAACACAACCUCAUUAAACACGAACGGAAAGUGCAUGACAACGAGGCUAAUGAGACAGCGACAGCCACUACGCUGUUAUCGCUCGGAAUAAUAUUAUAGUAUUAUGAACUACUCUGCUAUACUCCGGAGACAGGAAAACAGGUGUGGAGCCUUACUAGAAGACAUACUACCUCAUACACGCGGUUUCGCCCGCGUUUUCAUGCGAUAAAACGACUCUAACAUUAGAACUUGAGACGGGAUAUUUACCAUGUUUAUUUAUAUUUAUGAGUUUCCGAUAUUUCGGCACUGUUGCAAGCGCCAUGAUCACGGAUGAACUGGAGUGGAUGUUUAAGAGCAGAUAAAUCUAUCUUUCUAAGUCAUUAUGCAAUAAUAAAAUGUCACCUUGAUUUAUUCGUGUAGUUUUGUAAAGUAACUAGCUUCAGUCAUCGGUUUCGUCCGCGUUUUCGUAGGAUAUAAAGUAUCCUAUGUAUUAUUCCAGACCAUAAUCUACCUCUGUUCCAAAUUUCAUCCCGAUCCCAUCAGUUGUUUUUUUUUUAAUUGAUUUAUUAUACUUAGAAUUCCUUCCUGUGUAGUGGGUGCGUUUACAAACAUACAAGUUCACAUACACAUGACACACAGACCCGAAACAACAAUUUGUGGAUCAUAUAAAGAGUUGGUCCGUGCGGGAAUCAAACCCGCUUCACGUUGCAGUCAAGUUUUGAUUGCAAACAUACAAACUUUUGCAUUUAUAUCAUAAGUUAAUGUUGACAUUUAAACAGUGACUCGUGUAAUGUAGAGAUUGUCCAGUCAACUGAUGGUAGCGUGGACUGUCCAGGCGAUACGUACUUAGGUAUCGUCAUGUGCUAAUGGUAACAUGUAAACAGUGACUUGUGUAGUGUAGAGAUUGUCCAGUCAACUGAUGGUAGCGUGGACUGUCCAGGCGAUACGUACUUAGGUAUCGUCAUGAGCUAAUGGUAACAUGUAAACAGUGACUCGUGUAGUGUAGAGAUUGUCCAGUCAACAGGUGGUAGCGUGGACUGUCCAGGCGAUACGUACUUAGGUAUCGUCAUGAGCUAAUGGUAACAUGUAAACAGUGACUCGUGUAGUGUAGAGAUUGUCCAGUCAACUGAUGGUAGCGUGGACUGUCCAGGCGAUACGUACUUAGGUAUCGUCAUGAGCUAAUGGUAACAUGUAAACAGUGACUCGUGUAGUGUAGAGAUUGUCCAG